rnacentral:lncRNA from 10 species
CACAGGCUGUCAUUUGAGGAACUUGUCACAACCCUUUGUUUCCUAUCUUGUUUUGGGAGGAUACUUCUGUUCCCUUGGAUUGGACCAUGUCCAGUUCUCACCCUUAAGGCCUUUCCUUGUCUUAGUCAAUUUAACUCCUCUGCUCUGUAAUCCUUGGAUUACAAAACAAGUUGUUUCUCCUUUCCAGGGACAAGAGGAGCUUCCCUAUUGUUCUUAAUUCUUAGGGCAGAGAAAAAGGCACAAUCAUAUUAACUUGUAGCAGACGAGAAGGAAUUGGGUAGAUUAGUGAAAUCCUUUAUUCCUGCUGAUUUUUUUUUCUUUUUAAGACGAGGUCUUGCUCUUUUAUUCAGGCUGGAGUGCAGUGGUGUGAGCACAGCUCACUGCAGCCUCAAACUCCUGGGCUCAAGUGCUGCUCCUGCCUCAGCCUCCUGCAAAGCUGGAACUACAGAUACGUGAUCAUUUAACACACGGGUGUUAAGUUCAUUCUUGCUGCAAAAGAAGGCCAUUGUACCUCCUGACCCUGAAAGCAAGAACUGUGUCUCUUUAAAUCUACUGAGGAAGAUAUUCCUUCUGGCCCACAGGAUGCCAAAAUGACUUGAUGAUUUAUUUAUGCAGCACUUGGCAGCCUAUAGUCCAGAUUGUGGCUGAAGCUGAAUUUUAUGAGCCUUCCCCUAGGACACUGGAUUUUGUGGAUGCUCCUUGGACACACUGGAAUGCACCUUGGGCAGCCCGUGGAUCAUUUUCCCCAGUAUGAAGCAUGGGAGGAGCUGGAAAAUGAACUCAUGAGCCAGUUGAGCCAGCACAACAAGCUGGAGCCAGGAUAUGCAGCUGGGAGCGAGUGUCCAGCCAACAGCCCGUGUCUCAGGCCCUGCCAGGGGAUGAAUCAAUUAGCAAGAGAAGCAAUGAUGCAAAUGCUCCGGGGUCACUUGGGAUGCUGUUUGCCUUUUUGAUAGAGAAAGCACACCAUAAAUAACAUCACACCUCAGGAAAUCAUUCCAGGAGGCCCCGAUGCUGGCAGGGCUGCUGCCAGGGACGGAAGGAAUCGUUUGCUCAUUGUGUGUAUUUCCCCCAGCUCAGUCAAUGGGAGAUUUGUAGUAAAAUCAAAGUAUUUAAAAGGAGGACAGUAUGUGGUAACAGAGGCAUGUUUAGCAAUUUUUUUAGUACCAGAACCUGUGAUUUAUGACCCAGAGUUACAGCCAACUUUAUUACAAAAAUGACUUCACCCAUAAUAACCUUAUUCAGGGCCCUCUGAUGAAUGAUGUAGUAUCCAACAGCAUUAUAAUCUAGUAAAUAUUCAAACACAAUUCCCGCCUCCGCCUCAUUUCCAACCAACCCCUCAGAAGCAGGCUUCCCCCUUUACCUGCUGGGAGAAGUGGGGUCCUGGGUAAGGCUUUGUGCUCUGUCUGUGGGAGUUUGCCUGGAUCAGGCAUUUAUACUAAGCCAGGACAGAAAGUGACCUCCUGGGGUCUCAGUCAUAUCUUGUCCAACCUUGUCCCCUGAGGAGUAAUGAGCAGAAGACACCCACUCACCCUUCAUUUCCUCUCUGUGCUGAAACUUAUUUCCUCCCUGCAUUCCCCCACUCCUCCAGAGCUCAGAUCCCCACCACCUGAAAGGAGCUCCAGUAAGCUCCCUGACAUUUUUAAUUGCCAUGGUAACUGAGGGCUGCACUAAAACCGCCAGGGCUGGGUGUCCAAGCAGGGUCCCCUGGGCGUACCGGGAUCUAGAAACUAGCCCUCCAUCUUAUUAAACUCCGGUGUCAGUUCCUAGCAAUUGUUUUAAAUUUACACCCUCAGAGUGGCUUAGUGGGAUUACAUGUCCAUUUGCAUUAAAACAGUUUUCUGUCAUUAAACUGCCAUACAAUAAGCUUCCUUGGGACAAAUUAAUGAGCUCUAAAUAUCAUCAAGUAGAAGUUCACUUCAAGACAGGCAACAAGGAGGGGGGUCGGAAGGAAGUGGCUGCUCAGAAUCUCAUGGCCCAGGAGAACGAUAAGUGCCAACUAAAGAAGGGUCUUGUCCUGUUUCUUCACUGCACGAUAAGUGGUCCUGAUUUAGAGCUGAAUGGGGAGAUUUGGCAAUAUUCUCCCUGUUCGCCAAAAUCCUAUAGCUCAUCUUCUAUUCCUUCUUCCAAAUAUGACUUUACCCUUGACUUUGCUGAAAUUUGCUGAUGAAACACUGACCUCUUGUCUCAGUGACAAUGUCUCAGCCUCAUUUUCUUUGUCCUGUAGUUUCUCUGUCCUUGAGGAACUUGCGUGCAUCCACGUGGCCUGGGAACAACACGCACACAACGCAGCACUAUGUGUAGCUUGAACAAGUGCUCCCUAACUUUGUUAGUUCCCACACACUUUGCUAAAAUGCAUGUAUGAUUGCUACUGAACUGUCUGGGUCCUCAGACCUUAUCGGGACCCUGGAACACGAGUCCUGAUCAGGAGCACCUUUCAUGGUCAUCAGGAGCAGAAUAGGAACAGGGAACAGUUUAGCUUCUAAGACUGAAUUUGUCCUGCUCACAAGAAUCACCAGAGCUUGUCCUCACAAAUACAUAUGUGUGUCUAAGUAGAAAUUUUUCAUUAACACCAAAUAAACCCCCAAACCUUCCCUUAUGUAAAGGAAAUAAGACUGGCUGCUAGACAGACUUCUUGAUCCACAGAGGCUGUGAUCUCAUUUCUGUGUAGCCUUAACAGGGGACAGUAAUGUAUGAUUGAGACACUGCUAUAUUUAGGAAUGACAAGAUGAACAUUAUUAAUAGCUUAAUUGACAUUAAGGCAAUUACCCCUACCCUUAUUACAGUUUGUAGAAUUACACAGAAAAUAUUGGCUGGGGCCUUUUUUUCCCUAGAGCUACCCAAGGAUACAGCAUUUUAUUUCAUGCCAGAUCCCAGCUUUGACAUUAGAUACUUAGCCAUAGAAUGAUUCCAGUAAAUCAUUAUAAAUGCAUUAUAAUAAAGAUGUUAUGAGCUAUCAGAUAUUAACCCCCAACCCCUAAAGAGAGAUAAAUAGUCCAGUUGCAUGAUUCCCACUUUUGUUUCAUAAGAAAUAAGCUUUUGCAAAGAGCAACUGACUAAUGAAUUAUAAAAUGGUGUGUUGAGCUCAGAUAAUUAAACAAUGCAUUUUAGUGUCUAGUGCAGGAUGAACACUAAAUCAUACACAAAUAAAAAAGGUAAAAAUCUGAGCCCCAUGCCUAACUCCUAUUUUUGAAUAACAUUAAUGUUGGUCUACAGUCCAAAAAUGCUUCAACUAUUUUCUUAUCUGAUUAGAGAGGCAUAUCAAGUAUAAGAUCAAGGCACAGUAGGCAAACUAAACCAACAGUCAGAACAAAAACUGUGAAGGUGCUAAUUUCAGAUAAGCCCACAAGGUUAUUUUAAUGGAGAUUUUACAUGGAGAUUGCUUUUUCCCCCAAAGUGUUAAUGGGACAAAAGUCUAGAAGGACCUGGAAGUUUUCAGGUUUCCUUAUACUUUAUAUUUUCUCUGAACUCAUAAUAAAGCAUAUUAGUGGGAAUGGGAUCUAUGCUAUUGGUGGUGGUCUUAGCCUUAUAGUGUUGGAAAGAUGAAUACACAUCCUAAAAUCUUCUCUAGGUUGUGGAGGUGCAGGGAUGAGGAGGGGUUGGUUUGGGUUUCAACCAUUAUCCUCCCCAGGUGGUGGUAUCCUGCCCAGCAGGGCUUCAUCUAGUGGUCAACCAUGGAACACCAUGACAUUUUCACCAGUGGCCCUCAGACAGGGCUGGUUUGCCAUUGGCUGCCAUUUCCUGGCAUGUCGUAGAUUUGCUGCGUGAUUUGAAGCUGUGCUUCAGCACAUCCUGAAUGUGUUUUUUAGUCUUUCAGUAUCUCAAAGACAUGGUGUCCGCCUCAAGGUAGUCUCCUAUUUCUUCGUCAAAUAGCACAUCAUUAAGGACUGUGUGGCCAAAAUUACAGAUGGUCUUGGACUCUGUAUGGGCAAUGACCACCUGUGCUGGUAAUCGAGGCUUCCCUGGAACACCUGGGAACAUACCACACAGCCAGUCCUCUCCUGUGCUCCAGUCAAGCUUAACCUCACAGCCCGAUACUCCCUCCACUUCCCUAGCUCCAUGUGUUAGCCACUGCAGGUUAAUUGAUCUAAGGCUUAUUUUCUUCAAAUAUAAAAUGAAGAUAAUAAUGCCUACCCAGAGGGUCAUGUGAACAUUAAAUGAGAUCAAUUAUGUAAAGAUCUAUCUAUGCAGUGCCUUUCACAGAGUAUGCCCACAAAUAAAUGUUACCUGUUUCAUUUUAGUUAUCUAUGUUUAGCUAUCUUUGUGUUUUUUCUAUCCUGCUUCUUCUCGCUCCACUAUACUCUUACAUCCUAAUUCUCUCUCUCUCUCAUACACACAUACUUUGCUGUGUCUAGCACAGUGCUUUGCUUGUGGCUCACACUCUACAUGCUUGUUACCCUGAACUAUUAACAAAAGCAGCUGCUAGUAACAGUUAAUGUUUUCUGACCACCUACAUGAGCCAGGCACUAUGCUAAGUAUCAUCACUUCCUUUAAUUCUCACAAGCUUAUGAGACAAAUACUAUUUUAAUUCUCAUCUAUCGGAAAUUAAAGAUUAAAGAUGUUCUAUAACUUGCCCAAGGUCACACAAGCUCUUAAGUGGAUAGUCAAGAUCCAAACUCAGAACCGGCCUGGAUUUGAAAUCUCAGUUCUUAACUAUCACUGUGUCAGACUGAUUUUGUUAGCUUUUUCCUCCUUUAGACUGGGCCCUAUCAAGGGAUCAGAGAUAAGCAUGUACCCACUCUCAGAUGAGUGAUCCCACGACCUCAAGUUUUGAAGUUCCAGGAAGUCCAGAAGUGUAUGCUAACUCUAGUUUAUAGCUGUUCAAAAGUCACUUGUCUAAAAACUUCAGGGACAUUAUGUAAAACCAUCCAAAAAACAUUAUUGCACACCCCAUAAAGUUAAUUUCACUUUGCAAGAAUGUGUUUGAGGGAGGUGAUGCACUUGGCUAUGUAUUCAGGUUGGUGGCCACAAUAUAUGGAGCUGUGCUGUCAUCCUUGACACUCUGGCUUACUGGCAGCCUCGCUCCAACACACUGUCACAGGCGAGGGAUGGCCUCCCAGUCUUGACUCAGAACACUUAAGCUUCCUAAUGGUCCAAGUCUCACAAACCACACACCUCCCUUAAUUAAAAAAGUAAAUUAAAAGGAGUAUUUCAACUUAGGGAUGAAUUAUCUUAGUAAUUUAAGAUUGACAUUUUAUUGGAUAAAAGGACAUGUAUGAGUUUAUUUUAAAAUACUGCCUUCAUGAACAAGAGACCACAGAAAAGAUUAUCCUGAGGUUGCAAGGCGUUUGUAGAGCCAGAGGACACCCUUGCAAAACAGCCACUGUGAGAGGCCAGUUGCUGCAAAUCACAGGUCAGCCACUUCUACACUUGUCCUUCAAGCACAUCAGCCGGACAUUUGGAGUUUUCUAUAGUCUUCAUUUCAAACUCGAUCAUCCUGAGUGUUGUGGUGGACACUACUAGUGUCACAAAGAGUCCAGCACCCUCUCCUUCCAGGUAUAUAAACGGUGCAUUGCUGGGCUCCUUUGCAGUUGGAUAGGUCAGGUAAUUUGUCUGUUGUGAAGAGUUACUAUGUUUCACUUCUAAGCCGAAGCAUUUGAUUGUCAAUGGAAUACCCUCCAGCUCUCUCCUUCCCUGCAGAAGUAAUCUUGGAAGCAUGUGUUGAGAUGACAGAGUUCCCAAUAGCCUAGAUUCCUGAAUGACUUAGUGGAGCUGAGUCCUCCACAGGUCCAUGUUGGACAUGCACAAUCAGUGAGAAUAAACUUUUGUUGGAUUAAGUCACCGAUGUUUGGAGACUGUUCAUUACCACAACAAAAUGUAGCCAAAUCCCGACUAAUCCAGGAAUUAACCUUUUGUUCAGAAAAUACAGCCCUUCUAAGUCAUAAACCCAUAUUCUCUUUCCAAUAGCUUAUUAAAUGGUUUAUGUAUUUUCCAUCUUUUUGAUAUACUCUCAGAUGCCUAAAAUUACCACAGUGACCUUGGAUUGGACAAGGUAGUUGUUUGUCUUUUAGCCAUUAAUAAAUAUUGCUACUGUGGAAUGAGUGAGGGAAACAGAAGAAGACAAGGUUGGCCUUUUGAAAAUAAUAUGGCAUCAUGUAACGAUGAAAAAGAGAAAAAAUACAGAAAAAAGAGAAAACAAGAGAAAAAUGAAAAACAAGUCUAUAAGAGAGAAAAGUAGAGAAAAACAAAACAAUAGAAAUGCUGGGCAAUUUGUUUCAGAUUCACUAUAACCAACUGCUUGUUGUUGGGUUCUGCUCUAGAAGGCAUCUCUCAGGAUGCCUUUGACCCUCAGCACCUUUUUGUGUAUGUGCCUAGCAUACUGAGGUGCUCAAUAAAUGUUGAUUGAAAGGGUAAAUAAAGGAAUAAAUUUCCAUUUUAUAAUCUUGGAAGCAUAUAUUACUUUAAACGGCCUAUGACUAUGAAUGGACAUUCCAUUGCACAUUGAAAGGCAGUACAACAAGUGAGAAGGGAAGUAGAAAUAUAUGAGUUUGAAUAGCUCUUCAUAACCUUUAAACCUGAGUCCUUGCAAAGAGCAACUAUGAGGUCAGAGCAAUAAUUCUUUGUCCUAAAAACAGGACACCACUGAUAACUCAGAGCCGUCUGUUGAAGAAAGUGUUUCAAAUAAACUGGUUAGCAAUGCCCUUGUUUUGUUUGCCUCUGGAUGGGAAGAACUAGGAGUGCAAUCAGCACCGAGGUGUCUAUAGUCUUGAUGUGGUGGGAGAUGAAAGUAGGGGAACUGAAUAAUGUAUUUUUUCAAAACCUUGAAUGGAGCGAGAAAUACUGAUAAAAAGGAAGAGUUGUGAGUCAUUCUUCUGCUGAUGCCAACUGGGAAGCUCCAGUAGUAUAUUCCCCUGGUGAUGAAGUAAUUCACUUUUUCUGAGAUUAACAUUCUGUAGUAAGGCUGUUCCUCAUACAAGGUUGCUCACAGGUAAAGUUAAUAAAAGGCAGAGUCUAAGAAUUCAUAAGGAAGUUUGCCUUUCCAUGGGGAGAAAGCAUGCAAUCAGGGUCUCUAGUCUGUGUGCACACGUGUGUGUGCGCGUGUGUGUGUGCGCGCGCGCACUCAUAUGCACAGCUCAGAUGUCCAGGACUUGAGAUGAGAAUGGAAAGCACCGAAUAAGAAGAAAGCUGCCACACAGUAGGCUGAAGGAGAAUGACUACAACCUUUAGGCUGAAAAAAAAAAAACACUACAUGCUGGCGUGUAUCCUUGUGGAUAUGUGGAAACACAACAAAAAUAUUGGUCCAUCCUGGCUGCAGUUUUAAAGGAAAGGAAGAUCUCCUGGCAUCAACAUCUCUUGGAGAUGAACACACUAUACAUGCAAGUUCAAAUCUAUCAUCUUCCACCAGUCAACCCAAGCUACAUUCCCCUUCCAUUUAUUAUCAAAGGAAUAAGCACUUUUGUUUCCCAGGCUUAACUCCUCAAAAUCAUGAGCUUUUCUUCCCUACCUUUCCCUUCAUUCGAACUCUUUCCUUUCAAAAUGUUUAUAGAAUUCAUUCUUAUCCUCUCCCUGCCUGGGGGGUUUAUCUAGCUAGUCUAAAUUCUAGAUCAUUGCCUUUCUAUAGGAAAUAUAAAACACACAAAUAAUGAAAUACCCAUAAUCCAAGGCAGAAAUCAUGAGUGUUAUAGUAACAAUGGCCUCAAGAGCUAGACUGCCCAGGCAGCUCAUAUU